UACGGAGGAUCCGAGCGUUGUCCGGAUUUAUUGGGUUUAAAGGGUGCGUAGGCGGUUUUAUAAGUCAGUGGUUAAAGACUCUCGCUCAACGAGAGGGAUGCCAUUGAUACUGUAGAACUUGAGUACUGUAGAGUAGGCGGAAUUGGUAGUGUAGCGGUGAAAUGCAUAGAUACUACCAGGAACACCGAUUGCGAAGGCAGCUUACUGGAGAGUAACUGACGCUGAGGCACG
rnacentral:rRNA from 1 species